rnacentral:ncRNA from 24 species
AUUGUGACAUAGUUAAACAAAACGCCCGGCAGGUGUACGCUGCCGGGCGUUUUUGAUGGGG